CCAAAUGUAUAUUGAGCAAAGGAGCGAUAUUUUGAGCUCGAAUCGAUCGAGAUAUGUUGUCUGAAAGUCCCAUACGAACCCUAGGAAUAGAUAGGAUACAUAUGUCAUGACAUAGGAUUUUCGAUAUGUGUUAUCGUGUAAGACCACGUCUGGGACGUUGGCAUCGACUUGUGUUUACGUGUAAGAGUCUGUCUAGGACAGUGGCAUCGAUAUGUGAUUACAUGUAAGACCGCGUCUGGGACGUUGGCAUUGUACGAGUUUUCUGACUAUCCGCGUGUCCUUUUUAAUUCCGAACGGUUCAACGGG
rnacentral:lncRNA from 1 species